ACAUGCUUGCUAGACUUUGAGCCACACAUUUACUUUUUACUGCUUCUGAGCAUUGAGUGUGGUCAAGCUGUGUAGACCCUUAGGAGCUUGUCAUGUGGUUAAAUCAAGAUUCACUUGCACGUUCACUCACACAUGCUGCUUCUACUCCGGAAGUACGCAUCCACAUAUAUCCACUCAUUUCCAUCUCCAGAGCCACCCAAAAGUAUUCUACUCCUAAUCCGAGAGAGAAUAGCCAAAAACAUU
rnacentral:lncRNA from 1 species